rnacentral:rRNA from 1 species
GACGAACGCUGGCGGCGCGCUUAACACAUGCAAGUCGAACGGAAAGGCCUGCUUUCCCUUGUGGAUUGCGGGUACUCGAGUGGCGAACGGGUGAGUAACACGCUGGUGAUCUGCCCCCAACUUGGGUAUAAGCCUGGGAAACUGGGUCUAAUUCCCGAUAGGACUGCAGGGUGGUGCCUGUGGUGGAAUACGAUUUUCUAGUGGUUGGGGUUGAGCUCGCGGCCUAUCAGCUUGUUGGUGGGGUAAUGGCCUACGAAGGCGGUGACGGGUAGCCGGCCGGAGAGGGUGGACAGUGACAUUGGGACUGGGUUACGGCCCAGACUGGUGCGGGCAGCAGGGGUGGGGAAUAUUGCACAGUGGGCGGGAGCCUGAUGCAGCGACGCCGCGUGGAGGAUGACGGCCUUCGGGUUGUAAACUCCUUGCGACCGCGGGGAAGCCACCUGGUUGGAAGGGUGGUGACGUUAGUGGUAGAAGAAGCACCGGCUAACUACGUG